GGGUCUCUAUGGGGUUAUAGGGUCUCUAUGUUUGUCUAUGGGGUCGCUAUGGGGUCUGUGCCCCAUAGAGCGUUGUGGGUGUCGCUGGCGGGGCCACGCGUGCGGCCGUUGCUGCCCAUCAGGCCAUAAAGGACAACGCGGCCGAGGUGGCGGCCAAGGACGGGAGCCAGCUCCCGGUUCGGUCCCAUGGGCGACGUUGGCUGAAGUUUCCCAUAUAUGGAAGAAGCUGGAACCCGCCUUCAUUCAAGGUUUGGAAGCAGCCGGUUGGUCGAUGCGGAGCCAUCAAUUAGGAACCGACCAAUGGCGGCUCGAGUGGGCGGAGCCUCCGUCGUGAGGCCACGCCCCCUUCAUUUGCAUAAGGCUUGCCCUCAUUUGCAUGCAUAAUGAGCCCCCCAUCCUCCAUUGGGCCCAUAAAGUGCCAUAAAAAUGAGUGGAAAAGCCACUUUUUGGGCAAUUUAAGGCCAAAAAACGCCAUUUUUAUUCUAUUUCUAAUUCAA